UCUUAUCUUACAUAAAAAAUUCAGUAUAGUUGUAGUAUGAUUUGCUAUGCACUUGUUGGCUAUGGAAUUAUAUUACCUUUAAAUUUGUUACAGCAUGAGUAGAACAUUCUGUCUGUCCCAUCUAAGAGCAAGGGUGAUACCAAGAGACGUAUUAAGAGGUGUUACCCUUCAUUUCCUUUUCCUCCUCACUAGAGAUGGGAGGUAAUUAAAAAAGAAAGAAGUUUUCCUCCUUAUCUUAUAUAUCACACUCGCAUUUCUCUUUCUGUGUAGAGAUCAUGGCACAUUUCAUACUCUGUACGAAUGUGUCCGAAGACAAGGCUGGCUAUAGCUUUCGAGAAGUCACGUGACAAUUUUGUGGCAGGUCCUACGAUGCGCCUAUGCAGAGGCAGUAAGCAUCCUCACCCAUCCAUAUGCUUCUUGAGUACCCACUCUGCCCGUGGAAUUAUACCGGAGUACUUGAAUGCUGGUGAAUUUUUAAAUCUAGAUGAAUAAACACCAACACAGUAUGGAAAGAGAAGUAGGAUUAUUGGGAUCUAAUUUGGGAAGCAAGCACGUAAAAGAAUCAUUCAUAAGAUGCUGGGUGAAGCGCAGCUCCCACCCAGGUAAGAGGCAAUAUACCGAAGCAGAGAACCGCGCUCCUAGCAGGUGGCUUGUGGAGAGAGGAAUCAGUGAGCAUUCUGGGCCCGGGUGCCACUGAUAGUUCUGAGGCUCCAGCGCAGGCCAGUGAGGAAGCGCUGGUGCGACAGCGUCCUGAUUCAGUUCAUCUCUGAGAACGGAGAGUUGGGAGAACUUGAACCACAGAAAGCCAUUUUACACGUCUUUCGUUCCAACUGUCUUUGUAAACUCAUAUGUAAAUCAAAUCACCGCGAAGAAAUGGACCCCCUUUGUAGCGGUGUAUGUUUGAGACAUUUUGGUGUUCUGGUCCACUGGCAUGUCCUCUCCUGACAGGUCACAAUAAUGCUUUUCAAAAUAGUACCUGGUAGGUACGUGUCAGUUUGUGAUAGUCAGGGUGUACUCAAAUCCAUUCACUCCUUUGGUCUUUGCGGCUAGCAUGCCUUAUUUGAAUAUUCAUUCAGCAAACACAGGCUGUGCGUUUGUCAUGCGGCAGGUGAGUUACUUGAUGGGAUAAAUGACAUAAAUAUAAAAAGAGACAUAGUCUCAGCCUCCACCAAAUGUUCAGCUUCAUGGUCAAAAUUCACAACACUAGUAUACGACAGACACAAAUCUUAGAAAUCAAAAACGUUUAACAGAGACACUAAAUAAAAUCUUGCAGACUUAAGCAGGCAGUGAAUAUUAUAACUUAGGUUAAAACAUUGACUCUUGAUUGAGUACUUUCACUAAGAUAGCCUAGUGUUAAUACCAUGUUUUUUUAAAAAUAUAAAAUGUAUGUUUUGAAGAAUAUACUUUUGACAAAGAACAAAUUUGUUUUCAAUGCCACUUAGUUAUUUUAGGGGGGGGGAAGUAAAAAACAAAAACAAAAACAAAACCCUUUUGUCAAUGAACCUUCAUGAGCCAAGGCAAAAACAAAGAUGUAACAGUGAAAAGCUGUCUUUGCCUCUGGUCAGAAAGAAGGAGACUGAGUACUGACCAGAGACCUUUAAUGGGGAACAACAUGACUGCAGCAUUAACCAGGGGGCUAGUGUGCAGUUCGGGACCACAGUGACCCCUCUGUGUCUCUUGCCCUUCAUGUGAUAGUUAGAACUCACAUUCGGGACUUGAAAGCUGGGGUCAGCUCUUAGAGUCUGGGAUCUUAGGAAAGUGUCUUAAGCGUCGUAAGCUUGUUUUAUUGAUUUCCCUUUGAUGUCGUGCCAGAUCCCAGUAAGGAAAAGAAAGUAAACCAAGUCAGUGAUUCAAUGUUGCCAUGAUUGAGGGUAUAAUAAUAAGGCAUCUAGAAAGUAGCACAACUUGGAAGCAUUUUGGAAACUCUUGUAAGAACAACUGAUUAGGGGAACAACAUCAAAUACCCAGUUAUCCAAGGAUACAGGCGCCCGUGGGCCUAUGAUACUGCAAUUCAUUUUGAUUGCCUUGAAUAGUGAGGCUAGCUUAAUAUAUUGACAUUAAUUAAAAAAACAAAAACAAAAAAAUAUAGACCGGGUAUACAGCCAAACAUGUCUAAGAGUUACAAUUCCAAGCUUAAAAAAUUUUAUUAGAAAUAUCCAUGCUAGGGGCACCUGGGUGGCUCAGUCGGUUAAGUGUCUGACUUCGGCUCAGGUCACGAUCUCACAGUUUGUGGGUUCGAGCCCUGCAUUGGGUUCUGUGCUGACAGCUCAGGUCCUGGAGCCUGCUUCGGAGUCUGGGUCUCCCCUUCUCUCUGCCCCUUCUAUGCUCACUCUCUGUCUCUUUCUGUUUCUCAGUAAUAAAUAAAUGUUAAAAAAAAAAAGAAAUAUCCAUGCUAAAUUCUGUCUAAUUUGUGCUACUUAAGCAGCAUGUUACUAAAUCAUUCACAGGUAGACCAAAAACUGAGUUUCACCUGGUAACAGAAAAGUACAUUGAGCUCAGUCCACAGUCAGAGUGGAUUUUUGUUGACGUCAGAUCUGCUAGAGGAAAAAGGAAAUCUCUGAAAAUACAAGAAUCUUGGUUGCUUCUUGGUCCUGGAGAUUUUCGAGGUCUGAUCCAACCUCAGUCUUCCAUACACCCACCACUAAGGUCUUCACCCUGCUUUCAAGCAGCCGAGCGAGACAACUCGGCAAAAUGGUCCUGCAGCGAAUAAAUCCAUUGUCAUUGUUGCAUUUGUGGUGUCUUUCCACUCAGCACGAGGAGGCGGCCAUGCUGACGUUGUGCACCAUGGUUUCAGCAGCACGGAAUCUAAUGCUUGGCACAGGAAGCAGUUAUAACUGUUACUGAACAUUAUCCAUGCCACUUUCUCUAUUGUCUUUAUUCCCAACAAUGGUGGUUUGCGUGAAUUCUCCUUUUCUUAAUUUCCGGCAGACAACUCUUAGCAUCUGUUACACCGUCCGGGUCAGGCCAUCACACUGGUGAUACAUCCGUUGGCCGCUUGUGACCUCAGUUUCUUUCCCUUCUUUCCUCUUAGAGGCCUCCCCUCCUCUUUAGAGCUAACCCGUUGUCGGAGCAAAUGCAGACUUUUAACUAAGAGGCUAAUACUCUGCUGAAAAUAUGAGGAGAGAUUUACUGCUUCCCGUUUUUAGAGCUUUUACCGUAGAAAACUCGUAAGCAGUUUUCCUGUCUCUUUACAAUGUAUGGAGAUCUUUUUAAAAAAUGGGUGGUUUAGUCAGUUAAGUGUCUGACUCUUGGUUUCAGCUCAAGACAUGAUCUCAUGGUUUGUGAGUUUGAGCCCUGCAUCCGGCUCUGUGCUGCUGGUGUGGAACCUGCUUGGGAUUCUCUCUGCCCCUCCCCUGCUCUCUCUCUCUUUCAAAAUAAAUAAAUACACUUAAAAAAAA